UCUAAAAAUCAAAAAAAAAAAAAACAAAAGUGAAAAUUUGUUGACUUUUCAAUUGAUCCUGCAAUCCGAAAAAGCCAUUGAAGCAUAUGAAUGCUCAAUAUUCAGCCGGGAACAUUGGAGAUAUCUGCUUCUGAUGUUAGUCAGAUCUCAUAGCAGAAGUUGCUGCGUUGGAAGGGAAUAAAAGUGUGAGGCCGAUUAUGUAUUGCUACGACGGCAAUAAUUUUGUGGGCCAGAUUAUGGUUGAGCAUGUCUUGAGUGAUGGUCAGAGUUCAUCUGACUCUAGCUUUGAGACUGUAUCAUGGGAUUGUAGCCAGCUCUCUCUAAGUGAGCUCUCAAGAAUCGCUCUCGUAUCAAGCAAUCUCAAACGGGGACACAAACGAAAAGCCCAUGAAAAACCCAUAGAGACUAAACGGUUCAAAAAGGUUUCCGAAUCCAGUAAGGAGAGUGUACAAAUCCACUCGUAUGGAGGU